rnacentral:rRNA from 1 species
ACUCCUACGGGAGGCAGCAGUAGGGAAUCUUCCACAAUGGGCGCAAGCCUGAUGGAGCAACGACCGCGUGAGUGAAGAAGGGUUUCGGCUCGUAAAGCUCUGUUGUUAAAGAAGAACACGUAUGAGAGUAACUGUUCAUACGUUGACGGUAUUUAACCAGAAAGUCACGGCUAACUACGUGCCAGCACGCCGCGGUAAUACGUAGGUGGCAAGCGUUAUCCGGAUUUAUUGGGCGUAAAGAGAGUGCAGGUCGGUUUUCUAAGUCUGAUGUGAAAGCCUUCGGCUUAACCGGAGAAGUGCAUCGGAAACUGGAUAACUUGAGUGCAGAAGAGGUAGUGGAACUCCAUGUGUAGCGGUGGAAUGCGUAGAUAUAUGGAAGAACACCAGU